GACGAACGCUGGCGGCGUGCUUAACACAUGCAAGUCGAACGGAAAGGCCCUGCUUGCCGGGUACUCGAGUGGCGAACGGGUGAGUAACACGUGGGUGAUCUGCCCUGCACUUCGGGAUAAGCCUGGGAAACUGGGUCUAAUACCGGAUAGGAGCCAUUUUUAGUGUGAUGGUUGGAAAGUUUUUUCGGUGUAGGAUGAGCUCGCGGCCUAUCAGCUUGUUGGUGGGGUAAUGGCCUACCAAGGCGGCGACGGGUGGCCGGCCUGAGAGGGUGGACGGCCACAUUGGGACUGAGAUACGGCCCAGACUCCUACGGGAGGCAGCAGUGGGGAAUAUUGCACAAUGGGCGCAAGCCUGAUGCAGCGACGCCGCGUGGGGGAUGACGGCCUUCGGGUUGUAAACUCCUUUCGCUAGGGACGAAGCUUUUUGUGACGGUACCUAGAUAAGAAGCACCGGCUAACUACGUG
rnacentral:rRNA from 1 species